GAAUAUUUGCGCCCCUUUGUGGAGACAUUAAAAUGAGGAUCUUGCUCAUAAAGUGAGAGGUUAUUGACAGGAAAGAUGACAUCUUUGUUAUGCAAAGAUCUCUUUACUUUUUGGAAGGACCCAAGCCGAUUACCUGCAAUCUGGUGACGUCUGCGCCAACCCGCUGUUGGUCAAUCCCGCCAGCCAGGCCCCGCCCCCGCGUUGGAGCUCAGUCAAGCGGGAGUCGGCGAGGACGCUGGCCAUGAGGCGCCGGUGCUUGUCCGUGCUCGCUGGUACCUCCUGGUGAAGCCACACAGGCGGAGGGCGCUCUCGCAGCGCUCAGUGAGACUCUCUAAGCUCUAAAGAAGAAAAGAUUCCAGUCUGAAGGAGAGCCAGUCUGAGUGGCAGUGGCUGAACUCGCCCCCCAUUUCUGUGGGCAGCUGUUGCCUGUCUACAAACUGCUCAAGUACAGCUGUUCCUCGCACCAUGUGGACCUGUGAUUGAGAGGGAGGCAGGGGGGAAGACAAUGCACAAAUAAGAAGCUGCAAAUCUUGACAUGUCAUGUUGCCGUGCAUCCAAAACAUGACUUGCUAAAGCCUGGCUUACUCUACAAAUGCUCUUUUUUUUCAACGAUGCAAAUAUAUUCAUGCAUUCUGCUUCAUGUACCGCUCACCUCUAUUCCCUCCAGAUCAAAAGAAGGCUGCUGAUUCUCCACCAAAAAAAGAACUGCUCCAAGACCGCCAGGAACCAGCCGCUAGAACGCGCCAUACCUGAGCGUGGCAGACGGAUGGGAAGGGUUGUGAAGCACCGCUGCGUUCCUCAUGCAAAUGGCAGUAAGAUCUUACCGUGUGAUCCUGUGAUAGCAGGCCAGGAUGCGCGCCAUCUCCUCGCCGCUGCCGGAAUCUCCCAUCACGGCCAUGACCAGGGCACGUCCCAAUCUGUCCACCGUACCUGCAUGUGCAAAGGAGUCUCUUUACACGAAUCACCGGACUCUACCUCCUCAUUGGUGGUGGUCAAGGCAGCCGAGAGGCCGUUGCAGACGGGCAAAGAGUCUGCCUCUGUCCAGAUCCACAAAGGAACAUUCCCUCAUUAGCACGUGC